rnacentral:rRNA from 1 species
AGAGUUUGAUCCUGGCUCAGGAUGAACGCUAGCGACAGGCUUAACACAUGCAAGUCGAGGGGCAGCAUGAUUUGUAGCAAUACAGAUUGAUGGCGACCGGCGCACGGGUGAGUAACGCGUAUGCAACUUACCUAUCAGAGGGGGAUAGCCCGGCGAAAGUCGGAUUAAUACCCCAUAAAACAGGGGUCCCGCAUGGGAAUAUUUGUUAAAGAUUCAUCGCUGAUAGAUAGGCAUGCGUUCCAUUAGGCAGUUGGCGGGGUAACGGCCCACCAAACCGACGAUGGAUAGGGGUUCUGAGAGGAAGGUCCCCCACAUUGGUACUGAGACACGGACCAAACUCCUACGGGAGGCAGCAGUGAGGAAUAUUGGUCAAUGGCCGAGAGGCUGAACCAGCCAAGUCGCGUGAAGGAAGAAGGAUCUAUGGUUUGUAAACUUCUUUUAUAGGGGAAUAAAGUGGAGGACGUGUCCUUUUUUGUAUGUACCCUAUGAAUAAGCAUCGGCUAACUCCGUGCCAGCAGCCGCGGUAAUACGGAGGAUGCGAGCGUUAUCCGGAUUUAUUGGGUUUAAAGGGUGCGUAGGUGGUGAUUUAAGUCAGCGGUGAAAGUUUGUGGCUCAACCAUAAAAUUGCCGUUGAAACUGGGUUACUUGAGUGUGUUUGAGGUAGGCGGAAUGCGUGGUGUAGCGGUGAAAUGCAUAGAUAUCACGCAGAACUCCGAUUGCGAAGGCAGCUUACUAAACCAUAACUGACACUGAAGCACGAAAGCGUGGGGAUCAAACAGGAUUAGAUACCCUGGUAGUCCACGCAGUAAACGAUGAUUACUAGGAGUUUGCGAUACAAUGUAAGCUCUACAGCGAAAGCGUUAAGUAAUCCACCUGGGGAGUACGCCGGCAACGGUGAAACUCAAAGGAAUUGACGGGGGCCCGCACAAGCGGAGGAACAUGUGGUUUAAUUCGAUGAUACGCGAGGAACCUUACCCGGGCUUAAAUUGCAACUGACUGAACCGGAAACGGUUCUUUCUUCGGACAGUUGUGAAGGUGCUGCAUGGUUGUCGUCAGCUCGUGCCGUGAGGUGUCGGCUUAAGUGCCAUAACGAGCGCAACCCUUAUC